rfam:Gossypium raimondii chromosome 4, whole genome shotgun sequence.
AAUCCAUGGUGCGAGCAUUUCUGAAUCAGCAUUUUGAAUCAUUCUCAUGCCUCAGAAACUUUCUCCCUCCAUUUGUCUAAAAAUAGAAAUUUCUCUUAUUAGUUA